AAAUCAUCUUUCUUACCUCUUCAUUUCCUUCUUUCUCUAGUUUCUUCAUAUAGAAAUAUUAGUUUUAGUUGUCGAAGUUUUCACGGUGUCGAUACGUCAAAGUUCUGCUCAAAUCAUUUUCAUAAGUAACCCGUUCUGGGCAAACAUCAGAGAAAACGCUCGUGGACUUUCAACAACGAUCAACAACAAAAGGCGACGAGCUAGACCAUUUAGGAGGGAAGGCUAUGGAGUGACAGAUUACGAUAAUGUCAAGGCUGAAGGUUGCUAGCAUUUUGUUAAACGCUUAUCACAUCGUUACUAGUACGUAAUAAUAUACAGUCAGUAUAAGUGUCAGUCCUGUUGGACUUAGGAGGUCCUUCUAUUAAGCUUUCUUUUGAUUUUCUUCAUGUACUUUUAUUUUAAGUUUUAUCUACGUGGCAAGGCCACUAGUCUUAACGGUGUCAAACUUUAUGUAAAACAUAUUUGAAGCAUAUAUAUGUGAAGUAGUAUAUUUUAAUUAA